ensembl:lncRNA
AGUCUCAGUCUGUUCCCAGGCUAGAGUGGAAUAGCGUGAUUUUGGCUCAUUGCAAUCUCUGAGUCCUGGGUUCAAGUGAUUCUCCUGCCUCAGCCUCCCAAGUAGCUGGGAUUACAGGCACUCAACACCAUGCCCAGGACAUGAGAAACAUUUUACCUUGGCAAUGUAGCAAAGUUUGAAGAGAUAGGCCACCCAAGAAAAGGUACAGAAUGAGGUGGAACUGCGAGGGAGAUGAAAGCAGAAAUAUCUGGUCGGGUGCGAUGGCUCAAGCCUGUAAUCCCAGCACUUUGGGAGGCCGAGGUGGGUGGAUCAUGAGGUCAAGAGCUCGAGACCAUCUUGGUCAACAAGGAAUUGGCCUACAUGUUUAUGGAAGUUUGCAGGAAAGUGCUAGCAAAGAGAAAGAAGCAAAGUCUCACUCCAAGGAGAUGCCUUCGAAGUCCACUUUGUUCCCUGGGUUCACCUGUAUUCUCAGGCAAACUGCUACCAUGAAACUCCCCACACAAGAUGUGAAAGCCAAGAGGAAAGAGUUGAAGGUUCUGAAGAAGCUUCCAUGUGGUGAGAGAGUACAUGGAGGGGGCCAUACGAAGGGGGCCAUGUGGCAAGGAACUGUAGCUGCCACUGAGUGCUUCGAGCAAUCCCUGACCAACAGUAAGAACAUAGAACCACAGUGCAACAGUUGCAAAGAGAUGAAUUUUGUUAACAACAUGAAGAUGUUGGAAAUGGAUUAUUCUCUAGUCCAGGCUAUGAUCACCACAGCCCUGGUCAACACCUGAAUUUCAGCCUGGUGAGACCCUGGAGCAGAGAACUCACCUAGGAUAUGCCUGACUUCUGUCUUACAGAAACACAAAAAUAAUAAAUGUGUGCUAUUUUAAGCUGCAAAUUUGUGAUAAUUUACUACAAAGUAUAGAAAACUAAUGCAAUAUCUCUUUUCUUUCUGCAACAUA